UACGGAGGGUGCAAGCGUUAUCCGGAUUCACUGGGUUUAAAGGGUGCGUAGGCGGGCAGGUAAGUCAGUGGUGAAAUCUCCGGGCUUAACCCGGAACUGCCGUUGAUACUAUCCGUCUUGAAUAUCGUGGAGGUAAGCGGAAUAUGUCAUGUAGCGGUGAAAUGCUUAGAUAUGACAUAGAACACCCAUUGCGAAGGCAGCUUACUACACGAUCAUUGACGCUGAGGCACGAAAGCGUGGGGAGCAAACAGG
rnacentral:rRNA from 1 species